UACGGGGGGGGCAAGCGUUGUUCGGAAUUACUGGGCGUAAAGCGUGCGCAGGCGGUUUGCUAAGUCAGGUGUGAAAUCCCCGGGCUUAACCUGGGAACUGCGCUUGUAACUGGCAAGCUAGAGUGUGGCAGAGGGGGGUGGAAUUCCAGGUGUAGCAGUGAAAUGCGUAGAGAUCUGGAGGAACACCGAUGGCGAAGGCAGCCCCCUGGGCUAACACUGACGCUCAUGCACGAAAGCGUGGGGAGCAAACAGG
rnacentral:rRNA from 1 species